GAAGUUUCCUUCGGGAAACGGAUUAGCGGCGGACGGGUGAGUAACACGUGGGCAACCUACCUCAUAGAGGGGAAUAGCCUUCCGAAAGGGGGAUUAAUACCGCAUAACAUUUUUGAUUGGCAUCAAUCGGAAAUCAAAGGAGCAAUCCGCUAUGAGAUGGGCCCGCGUCGCAUUAGUUAGUUGGUGGGGUAAAGGCCUACCAAGACGACGAUGCGUAGCCGACCUGAGAGGGUGAUCGGCCACAUUGGGACUGAGACACGGCCCAAACUCCUACGGGAGGCAGCAGUGGGGAAUAUUGCACAAUGGAGGAAACUCUGAUGCAGCAACGCCGCGUGAGCGAUGAAGGUCUUCGGAUCGUAAAGCUCUGUCUUUAGGGAUGAUAAUGACAGUACCUAAGGAGGAAGCCACGGCUAACUACGUGCCAGCAGCCGCGGUAAUACGUAGGUGGCGAGCGUUAUCCGGAAUUAUUGGGCGUAAAGGGAGCGUAGGCGGAUACUUAAGUGGGAUGUGAAAGACUUGGGCUCAACCCAAGGGCUGCAUUCCAAACUGAGUAUCUAGAGUGCAGGAGAGGAGAGUGGAAUUCCUAGUGUAGCGGUGAAAUGCGUAGAGAUUAGGAAGAACACCAGUGGCGAAGGCGACUCUCUGGACUGUAACUGACGCUGAGGCUCGAAAGCGUGGGGAGCAAACAGGAUUAGAUACCCUGGUAGUCCACGCCGUAAACGAUGA
rnacentral:rRNA from 1 species